GUGAACUAUAAAGUUUUAACGGCCGACGGUAUUUUGACCGUUGCGAACGUAGCGCAAUCACUUGUCUCUUAAAUGGAGACCUGUAUGAAUGGCAUAACGAGGGCUUAACUGUCUCCUUUUUCAGCUCAAUGAAAUUGAUCUCCCCGUGCAGAAGCGGGGAUAAUAACAUAAGACGAGAAGACCCUAUGGAACUUUAGACACCAAGCAGCCCAUGUCAAAACCACCCCCACACGGAAAUAAACUAAAUGGACCCUGCCCUAUUGUCUUUGGUUGGGGCGACCACGGGGAAACACAAAACCCCCACGCGGAAUGGGAGCACACCUCCUAAAACCAAGAGCCACAGCUCUAAUUAACAGAAUUUCUGACCACUAUGAUCCGGCAAUGCCGAUCAACGGACCGAGUUACCCUAGGGAUAACAGCGCAAUCCUCUUUUAGAGCCCAUAUCGACAAGAGGGUUUACGACCUCGAUGUUGGGAUCAGGACAUCCUAAUGGUGGCAGCCGCUUAUUAAAGGGUUCGUUUUGUUCAACGAUAUAAAAGUCCCUACGUGGAUCUGAGU
rnacentral:rRNA from 1 species